GACGAACGCUGGCGGCGUGCCUAAUACAUGCAAGUCGAACGAAGCUUUUUUAACUGGUGCUUGCACCGACUUAAACAACUGAGUGGCGAACGGGUGAGUAACACGUGGAUAACCUGCACCAAAGCGGGGGAUAACAUUUGGAAACAGAUGCUAAUACCGCAUAACCACAGAAACCACAUGGUUUCUGUGUCAAAGAUGGUUUCGGCUAUCACUUUGGGAUGGACCCGCGGCGUAUUAGCUAGUUGGUAAGGUAAUGGCUUACCAAGGCAAUGAUACGUAGCCGAACUGAGAGGUUGAUCGGCCACAUUGGGACUGAGACACGGCCCAAACUCCUACGGGAGGCAGCAGUAGGGAAUCCUCCACAAUGGACGAAAGUCUGAUGGAGCAACGCCGCGUGAGUGAAGAAGGUUUUCGGAUCGUAAAACUCUGUUGUCAGAGAAGAACGUGUGCGAGAGUAACUGUUCGUGCAGUGACGGUAUCUGGCCAGAAAGCCACGGCUAACUACGUGCCAGCAGCCGCCGUAA
rnacentral:rRNA from 1 species